GCCGCUAUAGCUCAGGGGUAGAGCGCAUCAUUGGUAAUGAUGAGGCCGGUGGUUCAAUUCCACCUAGCGGCACCA
rnacentral:tRNA from 1 species